CCAAUAGCGUAUAUUAAAGUUGUUGCAGUUAAAAAGCUCGUAGUUGAAUUUCGGGAUCAAUACGUCGGUCGUGCUUCGGUACGUACUGGCGUCAUUGGUUUCUCCUUUCUGACGAACCAUGAUGUCAUUAAUUUGGUGUUAUGGGAAAUCAGGACUGUUACUUUGAAAAAAUUAGAGUGUUUAAAGCAGGCUCACGCUUGAAUACAUUAGCAUGGAAUAAUGAAAUAGGACGUUCGAUCCUAUUUUGUUGGUUUUAGGAUCAACGUAAUGAUUAAUAGGGAUAGUUGGGGGCAUUAGUAUUCAAUUGUCAGAGGUGAAAUUCUUGGAUUUAUUGAAGACUAACUACUGCGAAAGCAUUUGCCAAGGAUGUUUUCAUUAAUCAAGAACGAAAGUUAGGGGAUCGAAGACGAUCAGAUACCGUCGUAGUCUUAACCAUAAACUAUACCGACUAGGGAUCGGAUGAUGUUAAUUUUUUAAUGACUCAUUCGGCGCCUUACG
rnacentral:rRNA from 1 species